CCCUUAGAUGUUCUGGGCCGCACGCGCGCUACACUGACGAAUGCAACGAGCUUAUAACCUUGGCCGAAAGGUCUGGGUAAUCUCCAAAUUUCGUCGUGAUGGGGAUAGAUUAUUGCAAUUAUUAAUCUUCAACGAGGAAUGCCUAGUAAGCGCAAGUCAUCAGCUUGCGUUGAUUACGUCCCUGCCCUUUGUACGCACCGCCCGUCGCUCCUACCGAUUGAAUGGUCCGGUGAAGCGUUCGGACCGUGGCCUUUGGACGGUUCGCCGUCUGUUGGCUGCGGGAAGUUCGUUAAACCUUAUCAUUUAGAGGAAGGAGAANUCGUANCA
rnacentral:rRNA from 1 species